UGCCUAAUACAUGCAAGUCGAACGAAUCUCUUUUAGAGAUGAGUGGCGAACGGGUGAGUAAUACAUAGGUAACCUGCCCCUGUGCGGGGGAUAACAGGAGGAAACUCCUGCUAAUACCGCAUAGCCAUGAGCACCGCAUGGAGCUCAUGCCAAAUAUCCUUUCGGGGAUAGCGCAGGGAUGGACCUAUGGCGCAUUAGCUUGUUGGCGGGGCAACGGCCCACCAAGGCAACGAUGCGUAGCCGGCCUGAGAGGGCGGACGGCCACAUUGGGACUGAGACACGGCCCAGACUCCUACGGGAGGCAGCAGUAGGGAAUUUUCGGCAAUGGGGGAAACCCUGACCGAGCAACGCCGCGUGAGCGAAGAAGGCCUUCGGGUCGUAAAGCUCUGUUGUAAAGGAAGAACGGCGCAUACAGGAAAUGGUAUGCGAGUGACGGUACUUUACCAGAAAGCCACGGCUAACUACGUGCCAGCAGCCGCGGUAAUACGUAGGUGGCGAGCGUUAUCCGGAAUCAUUGGGCGUAAAGAGGGAGCAGGCGGCCGCAAGGGUCUGUGGUGAAAGACCGAAGCUAAACUUCGGUAAGCCAUGGAAACCGGGCGGCUAGAGUGCGGAAGAGGAUCGUGGAAUUCCAUGUGUAGCGGUGAAAUGCGUAGAUAUAUGGAGGAACACCAGUGGCGAAGGCGACGGUCUGGGCCGCAACUGACGCUCAUUCCCGAAAGCGUGGGGAGCAAAUAGGAUUAGAUACCCUAGUAGUCCACGCCGUAAACGAUGGUCACUAAGUGUCGGGGGUCAAACCCCGGUGCUGCAGUCAACGCAAUAAGUGACCCGCCUGAGUAGUACGUUCGCAAGAAUGAAACUCAAAGGAAUUGACG
rnacentral:rRNA from 1 species